UGAUAAAGUCUCUCCCACAAAAACCCUAAGGUUCUUAAGCCACUCUGGGUGCGGCCGGGCCAGAAAGACUCACAAACAGGAAGAAAGCAAUACAGAUAAGCACAAAGGCGAUUCAGCAGGAGGAUGGCGCUGGAAGAGGGUACCAGUAGCCAUUGUGAGAACUGCCUCCUUAACCUGACCAGUGCAUCAUGAAACUACAGUGUAUUCGGCAGAACAAGAUCCUGCUUUAAGGCUCAUUUCACACGGCGGCGAGGCAGGUCAGGACAGGAGCACUCUUGAUUAAACCCAUUGGGCUGUUCUGCAGCUGAACACACAGAGAUCCAGUUCUCUUUUGUUACCUGGGGGUAUGUUUCCAUGCGGGCUCAGAUCUAGUCAGAAUGGAUCACUCGUAUCCUGAAGAAAAGAAGUGAAACAAGAGACAUUAUUUUGAUGGGGUCUGCAGAAACUCAAUCUGCAGUGGACCCCUGUUGGUUCUGCAUGAAUGAGGACUGAGGGUGGGAGGGCAUGGUUUCCCUCUCACUAGGCUGUACCUAAGAGACUGUUUUACCAUCCUCUCCUCCCCCUUCUCUCUCAUCUGCUUCCCUUAGAGAUAAUAGUUAACGUUUCUGUACCGCCAUCCAGCUCAAUGUACAGUAACAACUACAGAGACACACCUGGAGGAAUGACUUCGCUGAUCAAUGUAGCACAGCCACCACUGGGGGGUGGCGGGGAGACAAGGCAGCUGUUUAACUACCUACAGUAACAGCACACACAGGGAGAGACCACCACCCGAUCCACCUGCACUUGCAUUUAGGGAGGCAGGAUCUAAAUAGUAGCCACACUGAAACUUAGCCAGGACAACAAGGUUAACACAUCCACCUCUUGCCAAAAAAGUGUCAUAGGAGUUGAAACAACUGCAAGUGGUCACAAGUCUCUGUUUUUAUGACUCAUUUGAAGCAUGGCACCCUAUGCAGAGUAGGGCACAUCAGCACCAUGCUAGGACAUAAGUACUGACUCAAUGGGGUGAGACGCUCCUACUAAAUCACCCGCAUCUGAAUUUUCCUUGCAGAUCUUCCACCAAGUAUUGGCUAGGCUCAGCCUCGGAUUACAAAAUCCAAUGAAAUCACAGGUGAGUUAGGAGCAGUCAGCCCCAGAAGGCUGAAUUUGCGCCAGGGAUUUCUCUGUGGGAUUACAACAGCCUGCUCCCUGCUGAUAUGCAGUGUCCUCAAACCACCUGGCUGACACAUUUAGCCAUGCCCAUCACCUACAAUCCUAUGUGCACUGCACGCCACCAAUGGGGUGGGAAUCUUAGCAGAAGGAAGGUGGGCACAUUGGUGAGGCAGAUGCCCUUCCCAACAGCCAGCGCUGCCGCUAUCACAGGAAACAAAACUACAUGGCCAUUCUUUAGAGGGGAAGUGACCUACGUUCCUGUCCUUGGGUGUGAACACACUAGUUCCUCAAUAGGGGAGCGGGAAAGGAGCAAUAGAAACAGACUCAGGAGUGAAAACUGCUGGGGGCAGAGAUUGCUUUUUUCAGCCAAGAUGCCCCGCAGUGCACUUGCUGUGCUGGGAAGAUCAAGGCUGGAGGUUGUGCUGUUGGAUCACAACUACGUUUCGCUCCCACCCACAAACAGGAAGCAGCAGGCAGAUCCUUCCCCAAGGCUGUGGAAAACAUCGCCAGUGAAACAGCAACAAAAGGAAGGAGUCAGAAGAGGAGAGAUACAGGGAAGAGAGAGUGAUUGAAGAUAUGUUUCUCCGAGCAGCAGUUGGUGCUUUGCUGUAGGAAUCCUGAGUCACUCUUAGCCUCCUGCAGAGAAUAUUUCACCCAUGUUUGUCAUCGCCUUCCUGGAAGCACUCACCCUACACCCAAGUUACAAUGUUGCUGCAGGACAGAUUGCCCAGCCAGGAAAUUAUAUGAUUUGUAAUAGCCCCAUUCAGCACAAAGGGACUCAGAGUACUGUACAAAUAUAUUCUAGCGGCCACUGAUCACACUUAUAAUAGUUAAGGUUGCAAAGUAGUUUGCAUUAUAUGCCCCCCACACACAUACGUCUUGUUUUCAGAGGAUCAUAACUUUCCAAAACAUUCAUUUUUAUGGGCUGAAAUUUGCUAUGCUUGGUUUCUCCUCACAGGUGAAUAUUGCUGGAAAGUUUGGGCCAAAACUAUUCAGUCAUUUCUGAGUUAUGGCAGGGUGAAAAAAAGCCAUUUUUGCACAACUAUAUAAAAAAAAAUAUGUUGGA